AACGCAUCUUGCGCUCCUUGGCAUUCCGAGGAGCACGCCUGUUUGAGUGUCAUUAAAUUUCUCAAAUCUUCCGAUCUUGCCCCCCCCCCACUAAGGGCUGGAGUGGUUGGUUUGGAUUGUUGGAGGCUUCUGAAUGCAGGCCCCCAUUCCUGCUCCUCUGAAAUACAUUAGCAAUGGCCGUGGUGUUGUGCACCAGUCGUUGGCGUGGUAAAAAUACUUGUAUUUUGUGCCAGUUGACAUAGACAACCUAACCCUCCCAUGCUUCUAAUCUCACCGCCCAUUUUCUGGGUGCCAUUGAUGAACAUUUUGACCUCAAAUCAGGUGGGACUACCCGCUGAACUUAA
rnacentral:misc_RNA from 1 species